AACAAAAAGACUGGGUUUCUUGCUGACUUUAAAACAAUAUAGAGAAAAUUAGCACGGACCCCGUGCAAGGAUGACCCCAGAUUUGUUAAGUGUUCCAUGUUUUG
ensembl:snRNA U6 U6 spliceosomal RNA